UACGUAGGGGGCAAGCGUUGUCCGGAAUCAUUGGGCGUAAAGAGCGUGUAGGCGGCUAGGUAGGUCCGUUGUGAAAACUCGAGGCUCAACCUCGAGCUGUCGAUGGAAACCAUCUGGCUAGAGUCCGGAAGAGGAGAGUGGAAUUCCUGGUGUAGCGGUGAAAUGCGCAGAUAUCAGGAAGAACACCCGUGGCGAAGGCGGGUCUCUGGGCAGUAACUGACGCUGAGGAGCGAAAGCGUGGGGAGCGAACAGG
rnacentral:rRNA from 1 species